GAUAGAUAUCCUGGUGCUGACGGUGUCUAUUUUAUGAUAAAGGUGAGGUUGAUCUUCGGCACAGCGGCAGUGCUGAGGUUCACUGAACUGUGGAAACAUCCGCGCUAUCCCCACAACCGACAAGAGCACAAAGACCUGCCCCCGGGCUCCGAGUGGCUUUAAAUUCAUGGAGAUCUUCAUCCUCUCAAAGAGGUCCCUAUAAAAAGAAAAGCCGUAAGGUAUCAAGAUUGUGGCACUAAACUAGACCAACCAUGAUAAAAUAUGAGUCUUCUGGGACGUUUCACGCUUCAGUGGGUCAUGUCCAGAAAAUCCUGUGACUGAGUGGAGUCUAUCAGCAGAUGUUGAAACAAUGGUUAUAAAUUAGCCCCACCCAUUUAAAGAUCUUACAAAGUGGGGGGAAAUAAAGCCAAGUUACCUAUC